UGUUGAAAAUUUCAAACCUGAUGGCUCUUGAUGUAAUAUUUUAAGUACCUCUAAACUCUUUUUCCUCAAACUCAUAACCUCCAAUAAGAAGAACUAGAACAACGUAAGGAAGAAGACUCUGCUCGUGUCUCCAUUCAACAAGAGAACCAAAGGCAUGAAAACACACACCAAAAAAGUAAAAGUAAAAUAAAAAUGAAACAGUUUUUCAGGUUGUUCUCUGUUAGUCCUUGACGAAAGUUGCAAUUUUUACAGCCGGAUGAUGAGGCGGACUUGGUGAUGGCCCAAGUCCCUGAUGGUCGAGUUACUAGAACUUUGUAAAAGAAAUUCAAGGAAGGCUAAUUCAAUAAAAUUAGGGUGUAGGCAAAGGCUUCUUUGAUCCAACAAGACAUGGAUAAGUCAUAAUUGUUCUGCUAUUCUAGUCAAAGAUAUUAUGUAUGAUCACAACGAUAAGAACCUUCCCCACAAAAUGCCGUUUGAUGUGUAGAGGACAUACCUGAGGGAGAGAGCUUAGUUAUGAUUAUAUUUGCUGCAAGGGAAGAAUUAUCAAAGUUGGGUGUAUCAGUUGCAACUGUGGUUCUCGACAACGCAUUUUGCAUACUUAAGUUCGAAGAUAAGCUUUUCAUGUUACCAUGGUGGGUGAAUCUACAAAUUGGACUCCAUGUUUUCAAACAAACAUGUAGCAUGAAGGAUAUCCAAUUCGACGACCCUAAAAGAAAAGCAUAGAGUGGACGCAGUAGUUUCUCAGAUUCGAUUUAUGCAGCACCAGCAAAAUUUGGCUUCAUUGGCUUUAUUGGAUCCACAGAUGCCAAUUCCAGCAGGAAAUUUCUGUGUCCUUUAAGAGAAACACAAGAAGAAUCCCUUGUUACAUGUAUCCAUGAGUACCAUGAUAAAGACUCUGCCGUGUCUGCUUAGUGGUGAUGGCAAGAGUGAGACCUGAGUGUGACUACUUGAGACUAUUCUCAGAGCUGUGAUGGUGGCUGGGUGGUGUGUCUGAUUCAAGUCAAGCAUAUUAAAUUUUAUUUUAUUUUCAAAUUUUUUUUAUUUAAGCAUGAUGACUGAAUUACAACUUUUAAUGUCAGUUUGAGGUUGUUAUUUUAUUUUUUUAUACAUGUGUCCUGGUCUGUCAU